rnacentral:rRNA from 1 species
AUGCUUAACACAUGCAAGUCGAACGAGAAAGGGGAGCAAUCCCUGAGUAAAGUGGCGCACGGGUGAGUAACACGUGACUAACCUACCCUGGAGUGGGGGAUAACUGAGGGAAACCUUAGCUAAUACCGCAUAAUACCCACGGGUCAAAGGAGCAAUUCGCUCCAGGAGGGGGUCGCGGCCGAUUAGUUAGUUGGCGGGGUAAUGGCCCACCAAGACGAUGAUCGGUAUCCGGCCUGAAAGGGCGCACGGACACACUGGAACUGAAACACGGUCCAGACUCCUACGGGAGGCAGCAGUGGGGAAUUUUGCGCAAUGGGGGAAACCCUGACGCAGCAACGCCGCGUGGAGGAUGAAGUACUUCGGUACGUAAACUCCUUUCGAUCGGGACGAUAAUGACGGUACCGAGAGAAGAAGCCCCGGCUAACUUCGUGCCAGCAGCCGCGGUAAUACGAGGGGGGCGAGCGUUGUUCGGAAUUAUUGGGCGUAAAGGGUGCGUAGGCGGUUCGGUAAGUCUGAUGUGAAAUCUAUGGGCUCAACUCAUAGUCUGCAUCGGAAACUGCCGGGCUUGAGUGUGGGAGAGGUGAGUGGAAUUUCCGGUGUAGCGGUGAAAUGCGUAGAUAUCGGAAGGAACACCAGUGG